GACGCACGCUGGCGGCGUGCCUAAUACAUGCAAGUAGAACGCAGUUGCGAACGGGUGAGUAACGCGUAUGUAACUGCCUCAUAGCUGGGGAUAACGAUUGGAAACGAUAGCUAAUACCUCAUACUUUGAUAUACACCUGCUUUGUAGUAGCUCGUGGGUGAGGUAAAGGCCCACCAAGGCCACGAUACAGAUCCGGCCUGAGAGGGUGAUCGGCCCACCUGGGACUGGGACACGGCCCCGACUCCUAAGGGAGGGCGCCGUAGGGAAUCUUCGGCAAUGGACGGAAGUGUGACCGAGCCACGCCGCGUGAGUGUGGAAGGUUUUCGGAUCGUAAAGCUCUGUUGUUAGAGAAGCGGUAACUAACCAGAAAGGGACGGCUAACUACGUGCCAGCAGCCGCGGUAAUAC
rnacentral:rRNA from 1 species